CAGCAUUUAUUUGGCCACUGUAAAGAGACCGCCGGUGACAAACCGGAGUGAGGUGGGGAGGACGUCAGGUCAUCAUGCCCCUUACGAGCUGGGGGUACACACGUGCUACAAUGGAUAGAACAAAGGGCAGCGAAACCGCGAGGUCAAGCAAAUCCCAUAAAUCCAUUUUCAGUUUGGAAGCAGGCUGCAACUCGCCUCCAUGAAGCCGGAAUAGCUAUUAAUGGAGGACCACCGUGCCGCGGAGAAGACC
rnacentral:rRNA from 1 species